AUUGAACGCUGGCGGCAGGCUUAACACAUGCAAGUCGAGCGGAGAUGAGGUGCUUGCACCUUAUCUUAGCGGCGGACGGGUGAGUAAUGCUUAGGAAUCUGCCUAUUAGUGGGGGACAACAUUCCGAAAGGAAUGCUAAUACCGCAUACGUCCUACGGGAGAAAGCAGGGGAUCUUCGGACCUUGCGCUAAUAGAUGAGCCUAAGUCGGAUUAGCUAGUUGGUGGGGUAAAGGCCUACCAAGGCGACGAUCUGUAGCGGGUCUGAGAGGAUGAUCCGCCACACUGGGACUGAGACACGGCCCAGACUCCUACGGGAGGCAGCAGUGGGGAAUAUUGGACAAUGGGGGGAACCCUGAUCCAGCCAUGCCGCGUGUGUGAAGAAGGCCUUAUGGUUGUAAAGCACUUUAAGCGGGGAGGAGGCUACUGAGACUAAUACUCUGGGAUAGUGGACGUUACUCGCAGAAUAAGCACCGGCUAACUCUGUGCCAGCCGCCGCAGUAACAC
rnacentral:rRNA from 1 species